CCCUUAGAUGGUCUGGGCGGCACGCGCGCUACAAUGAUGCAUUCAAAAAGUCUUCUGACCUUAGAAGGUUGGGUAUUCUCCAAAGUGCAUCGUGAUGGGAAUAGUUUAUUGCAAUUUUUAAUCUUGAACGAGGAAUUCCUAGUAAGUACAGGUCAUCAACUUGUGUUGAUUACGUCCCUGCCCUUUGUACACACCGCCUGUCGCUCCUACUGAUUGAGUGUCUCGGUGAAUUCUUUGAUCUUCUGUCGAUUCAGUUCACUGAUCCGACGGUGGAAAGUUGAAUGAACUUCGUCACUUAGAGGAAGGAGAAGUCGUAACA
rnacentral:rRNA from 1 species